CAAUAUGGCUUCAAAUUUAGAAAAUUUGUACAAAAUAUGUAAAUUAAUCAGUGUUGUGCUAUUAAAAUGGAAUGACAAUACUUUAUAUAACAAGAUUCUUGUGAAAGUUCAUCGAAAACUUGAAAGGACAUGGGGACCUGAAUCAUCAAAGAAAUGUAUAAAGGUGAAAAGUAAUCGACUGAGCCAAAAGAUCCCUUGGACAUAGGAAUAAUAUGGAAGUUGCUAUCAGCAGCAGGAAGCAGCAGGAGAGGUUUGCUAUCAGGUCGCCGAAGGAGUUCUGGAUCUCUACCAUGCAUAG